UGACUUUCCUAUCUUGCCUUCUCCGGCCUGUUAGUAAUUCCUCUAUUUCCUGUGAUAAAACGAAGCUAAUAAAUAUGAUGUGGAACAAAUGGAGGCAAUCUUUGCCAACUAGGCUCUGAGUGCCCUGCUCCCAUCUUUGCUGCGACUGUUAUUCUGUUUCUUAAGUUCUGUGUUGCCUCCUGACAACAAGUGGCGUCCAACGUGGGGCACAAAUAGUUUGGGAGAAGGCUCGCAGCAAGCAAAUUUGUGGUUACAAUAUCGGCGCAGGACCUCGGGUGGAACUUGGAGGCCUUCUACGUCCUCAAAGUCCCCAGAUGCACGAGACAAACCGUCUAUGAACUAAUGCAAAAGGAAACAGCUUGCUCAGUUUUCUUCUCCAUACAAAAACAAAAAGGGGGAAAUGUGGGAAAACGGCCUGAGCUUGGAAUGCAUCCUUGACAUACUCAAGGGUGUUGACACUGGAACACCAAGUCCUGCCGGGAUGGAACACUGUCCAGGGCAGCACCCGCACUGUUUAUGCAAGCAGCAUGCAAGUCUCGAAUGACCUCUCCCUGACUUCCCUAUCUUGCCUUCUCCGGUCUGUUAGUAAUUCCUUUAUUUCCUGUCAUAAAAUGAAGCUAAUAAACAUGAUAUGGAACAAAUGGAGGCACUCUUUGCCAACUAGGCUCUGAGUGCCCUGCUCCCAUCUUUGCUGCAACUGUUA